rnacentral:rRNA from 1 species
GAAAUCAACCGAGAUUCCCCCAGUAGCGGCGAGCGAACGGGGAGGAGCCCAGAGCCUGAAUCAGUGUGUGUGUUAGUGGAAGCGUCUGGAAAGGCGCGCGAUACAGGGUGACAGCCCCGUACACAAAAAUGCACAUGCUGUGAGCUCGAUGAGUAGGGCGGGACACGUGGUAUCCUGUCUGAAUAUGGGGGGACCAUCCUCCAAGGCUAAAUACUCCUGACUGACCGAUAGUGAACCAGUACCGUGAGGGAAAGGCGAAAAGAACCCCGGCGAGGGGAGUGAAAAAGAACCUGAAACCGUGUACGUACAAGCAGUGGGAGCACGCUUAGGCGUGUGACUGCGUACCUUUUGUAUAAUGGGUCAGCGACUUAUAUUCUGUAGCAAGGUUAACCGAAUAGGGGAGCCGAAGGGAAACCGAGUCUUAACUGGGCGUUAAGUUGCAGGGUAUAGACCCGAAACCCGGUGAUCUAGCCAUGGGCAGGUUGAAGGUUGGGUAACACUAACUGGAGGACCGAACCGACUAAUGUUGAAAAAUUAGCGGAUGACUUGUGGCUGGGGGUGAAAGGCCAAUCAAACCGGGAGAUAGCUGGUUCUCCCCGAAAGCUAUUUAGGUAGCGCCUCGUGAAUUCAUCUCCGGGGGUAGAGCACUGUUUCGGCAAGGGGGUCAUCCCGACUUACCAACCCGAUGCAAACUGCGAAUACCGGAGAAUGUUAUCACGGGAGACACACGGCGGGUGCUAACGUCCGUCGUGAAGAGGGAAACAACCCAGACCGCCAGCUAAGGUCCCAAAGUCAUGGUUAAGUGGGAAACGAUGUGGGAAGGCCCAGACAGCCAGGAUGUUGGCUUAGAAGCAGCCAUCAUUUAAAGAAAGCGUAAUAGCUCACUGGUCGAGUCGGCCUGCGCGGAAGAUGUAACGGGGCUAAACCAUGCACCGAAGCUGCGGCAGCGACGCUUAUGCGUUGUUGGGUAGGGGAGCGUUCUGUAAGCCUGUGAAGGUGUGCUGUGAGGCAUGCUGGAGGUAUCAGAAGUGCGAAUGCUGACAUAAGUAACGAUAAAGCGGGUGAAAAGCCCGCUCGCCGGAAGACCAAGGGUUCCUGUCCAACGUUAAUCGGGGCAGGGUGAGUCGACCCCUAAGGCGAGGCCGAAAGGCGUAGUCGAUGGGAAACAGGUUAAUAUUCCUGUACUUGGUGUUACUGCGAAGGGGGGACGGAGAAGGCUAUGUUGGCCGGGCGACGGUUGUCCCGGUUUAAGCGUGUAGGCUGGUUUUCCAGGCAAAUCCGGAAAAUCAAGGCUGAGGCGUGAUGACGAGGCACUACGGUGCUGAAGCAACAAAUGCCCUGCUUCCAGGAAAAGCCUCUAAGCAUCAGGUAACAUCAAAUCGUACCCCAAACCGACACAGGUGGUCAGGUAGAGAAUACCAAGGCGCUUGAGAGAACUCGGGUGAAGGAACUAGGCAAAAUGGUGCCGUAACUUCGGGAGAAGGCACGCUGAUAUGUAGGUGAAGUCCCUCGCGGAUGGAGCUGAAAUCAGUCGAAGAUACCAGCUGGCUGCAACUGUUUAUUAAAAACACAGCACUGUGCAAACACGAAAGUGGACGUAUACGGUGUGACGCCUGCCCGGUGCCGGAAGGUUAAUUGAUGGGGUCAGCGCAAGCGAAGCUCUUGAUCGAAGCCCCGGUAAACGGCGGCCGUAACUAUAACGGUCCUAAGGUAGCGAAAUUCCUUGUCGGGUAAGUUCCGACCUGCACGAAUGGCGUAAUGAUGGCCAGGCUGUCUCCACCCGAGACUCAGUGAAAUUGAACUCGCUGUGAAGAUGCAGUGUACCCGCGGCAAGACGGAAAGACCCCGUGAACCUUUACUAUAGCUUGACACUGAACAUUGAGCCUUGAUGUGUAGGAUAGGUGGGAGGCUUAGAAGUGUGGACGCCAGUCUGCAUGGAGCCGACCUUGAAAUACCACCCUUUAAUGUUUGAUGUUCUAACGUUGACCCGUAAUCCGGGUUGCGGACAGUGUCUGGUGGGUAGUUUGACUGGGGCGGUCUCCUCCUAAAGAGUAACGGAGGAGCACGAAGGUUGGCUAAUCCUGGUCGGACAUCAGGAGGUUAGUGCAAUGGCAUAAGCCAGCUUGACUGCGAGCGUGACGGCGCGAGCAGGUGCGAAAGCAGGUCAUAGUGAUCCGGUGGUUCUGAAUGGAAGGGCCAUCGCUCAACGGAUAAAAGGUACUCCGGGGAUAACAGGCUGAUACCGCCCAAGAGUUCAUAUCGACGGCGGUGUUUGGCACCUCGAUGUCGGCUCAUCACAUCCUGGGGCUGAAGUAGGUCCCAAGGGUAUGGCUGUUCGCCAUUUAAAGUGGUACGCGAGCUGGGUUUAGAACGUCGUGAGACAGUUCGGUCCCUAUCUGCCGUGGGCGCUGGAGAACUGAGGGGGGCUGCUCCUAGUACGAGAGGACCGGAGUGGACGCAUCACUGGUGUUCGGGUUGUCAUGCCAAUGGCACUGCCCGGUAGCUAAAUGCGGAAGAGAUAAGUGCUGAAAGCAUCUAAGCACGAAACUUGCC